CCUGAGUACGACGGAGCACGUGAAAUUCCGUCGGAAUCUGGGAGGACCAUCUCCUAAGGCUAAAUACUCUCUAGUGACCGAUAGUGAACCAGUACCGUGAGGGAAAGGUGAAAAGUACCCCGGAAGGGGAGUGAAAGAGAACUUGAAACCGUGUGCUUACAAGUAGUCAGAGCCCGUUAAUGGGUGAUGGCGUGCCUUUUGUAGAAUGAACCGGCGAGUUACGAUCUGAUGCAAGGUUAAGCAGAAAAUGUGGAGCCGUAGCGAAAGCGAGUCUGAAUAGGGCGAAUGAGUAUUUGGUCGUAGACCCGAAACCAGGUGAUCUACCCUUGGUCAGGUUGAAGUUCAGGUAACACUGAAUGGAGGACCGAACCGACUUACGUUGAAAAGUGAGCGGAUGAACUGAGGGUAGCGGAGAAAUUCCAAUCGAACUUGGAGAUAGCUGGUUCUCUCCGAAAUAGCUUUAGGGCUAGCCUCAAGUGAUGAUUAUUGGAGGUAGAGCACUGUUUGGACGAGGGGCCCCUCUCGGGUUACCGAAUUCAGACAAACUCCGAAUGCCAAAUAAUUUAACUUGGGAGUCAGAAUGUGGGUGAUAAGGUCCAUAUUCGAAAGGGAAACAGCCCAGACCACCAGCUAAGGUCCCAAAAUAUAUGUUAAGUGGAAAAGGAUGUGGCGUUGCCCAGACAACUAGGAUGUUGGCUUAGAAGCAGCCAUCAUUUAAAGAGUGCGUAAUAGCUCACUAGUCGAGUGACACUGCGCCGAAAAUGUACCGGGGCUAAACAUAUUACCGAAGCUGUGGAUUGUCCUUUGGACAAUGGUAGGAGAGCGUUCUAAGGGCGUUGAAGCAUGAUCGCAAGGACAUGUGGAGCGCUUAGAAGUGAGAAUGCCGGUGUGAGUAGCGAAAGACGGGUGAGAAUCCCGUCCACCGAUUGACUAAGGUUUCCAGAGGAAGGCUCGUCCGCUCUGGGUUAGUCGGGUCCUAAGCUGAGGCCGACAGGCGUAGGCGAUGGAUAACAGGUUGAUAUUCCUGUACCACCAUUAUUCGUUUUAAGCGAUGGGGGGACGCAGUAGGAUAGGCGAAGCGUGCUGUUGGAG
rnacentral:rRNA from 1 species